ACAAAUUUUAUAGAUUAGAAGAAAAGAAAAUACUGAAUAGCAUAUUUUGACAUGUAAAAAUAGCUUCAGGAAAAACUAUUUCAAUUAAAUGUAAGCAAACAUACCCAUUUUUUCAUUUUGAAAAAGGGGGGUUGAAACUCUCCAAUAUACUACCAGUCAUUAAAACAACUUUUUAGAAAAAAGUGACCGUACGAAAUUCUGACGACAGGGCA
rnacentral:lncRNA from 1 species